UACGUAGGGGGACCUGGAACUUCCGGUGGAGCGGUGAAAUGCGUUGAGAUCGGAAGGAACGCCCGUGGCGAAAGCGAGGUCCUGGACGUCUACUGACGCUGAGACGCGAAAGCUAGGGGAGCAAACGG
rnacentral:rRNA from 1 species